CGGGACGUGGGCCAGCCUGGCUGUGGCCGCGUGCCUCGGACGCACGAGAACGCAGGUUCAAAUCCUGCCGUCCCGA
rnacentral:tRNA from 1 species